CACUGAAGUUGAAUACAAACAGUCGUUCAAUGAUGAUGAAAAGUAUAGGACAUCUUCAACAGUAUUCAUUCUACUAUAUCAACCAUGAAGGGCUCAACGUGAUGAUACCAGUUUAUUCCGUGCAUGAAGCUGUGAAUCGUGCAAUGCACUUGUUUCGAGGACAGUCCACCUUGUAUCUGUACGUAUGGGAUCGAUUUUGCUCGUCUUUGCAUGAUGUCAAGGAAGAAGACGAGAACAAAGCAAUCAUCAAAAAUGAGUUAUAAUCGAUCAACCACGGCAGUACGCUGUCACUCAACUAUUUUCUUGCUAUUCAUUCCUUUACUAAAUUGGUCGUAAUACAAUGUUCUCAUUGUUAUAUUCUUAUUCUAGUUAUCCGUAGUUUCCUGAAUGCUCACUCCACCCUUUGACUUAUACUCUCAAUGGGCAAGACCUAGAGAGAGUAGAGGUGGCUGAAAUGUAUGUCAGCUCAGUAAUGGGAAAACAAUUUCAUCCCACACCUUUCGGGCAAGAGGUGACCUUUAGACAGAGCAAAUAGCCCGUGGAUUGGAGCCAGACCGUCUAGGAAAAUCCCCUCAGCUCGAUGUCAAAGGCCAAACUCAGGAUCCACAUCAACUCUAACAUGAAGACAGUCCAUGCAUCGGUCAAUUUACGUAACCCCUAGGCUCUUGAAGACAUUCCUCCACCGUUGCCCGUAUUACGUAAACCAUGUGUUACCAUUUGCAGCCUGGGUUGAACGAUUCAAGUACGUUCCCAGGGGCAAACAUUGUAAGGCAGACAAACAGAUCCCUUGAAAAUUGGCGCCUUCCUUUAAUAUAUCCCUGUCUGGUCCGGUCUUUUGAAACCGCCUUCAUCCAACCCUGAGCAAGGUGAUGCUGGAUUGUUUGUGGUCUUGUGUCGCCGUCAACCUUCAAUCAAGCCAAGACCAAGAAGAGAUAUCGGCGGAUGGAUAUCGUUCGCAUUAAAGGUGGCCUCUUACCUGCUUGUGUUC